GACGAACGCUGGCGGCGUGCUUAACACAUGCAAGUCGAACGGGCCCGCCCCUGUUUUUGGGGGUGGGUUGAGUGGCGAACGGGUGAGUAUCACGUGAGUAACCUGCCCCCUGCUCCUGGAUAACUGCUUGAAAGGGCGGCUAAUACGGGGUGUGCCGGCUGGUCCGCAUGGGCGUGGGCGGGAUAGUUUCAUCUUCGGGUGUUUCGGUGGGGGAUGGGCUCGCGGCCUAUCAGCUUGUUGGUGGGGUGAUGGCCUACCAAGGCGGUGACGGGGCGCCGGCCUGACGGGGUGGCCGGCUACGCGGGGACUGGGACACGGCCGGGACUCCUGCGGGAGGAAGCAGCGGGGGGAAGCGCAAAAUGGGAGGAAGCCUGAUGCAGCGGCGGCGCGUGAGGGAUGGGGGCCGUCGGGUUGUGAGCCUCUUUCUCCGGUGGUGAAGGCCCUGUCCGUUGCGGCGGGGUUGACGGUAGCCGGGAAUGAAGCGCCGGCUAACUACGUG
rnacentral:rRNA from 1 species